rnacentral:lncRNA from 1 species
AUCACUGGGCUAGAAAUUGGAACUGGAGUCCUGGUGCACGUGAUGCUAGUGUGUUUCUAGCAUCUGCUCUGCUCUGCCUCUCAUGGUCUUCAGUACCAGCCCAAGGCCUCAAUUAAGUCCUCUUCCUGGAAAUAGCCUCAUUGGAUUCUUUCCAAAGCAAAUUUCAGGUCAGGGUAAGGCUCAUGCCCAGAAAAACUGAGGCAAGAAACAGGAACCCCAGAGGGAUUUAGCUGCAGUGGGAAGAGUUAGGGCUGGAGGAUCAAAAGGACUGAGGUUCAAUUUCACUCUGCCUCUUGUUAGCAAGUGAAUUUGGCCAACUCUUUAACCUCUCUGAGCCUCAGUUUCUUCAUCUGGGACAUGGGUAUGGUAGCAAAAGCUACAUGUAAUAGGUUAUGAGGCACAAAUGAGGAGACAUAAAAGCAGG